CACAGGAUCUCAAAACCUGAAUAAAACGCUUCCGUUUCAUUUAAUACAUCCGGAUGCAUCAGUUUCGCACAGAUCGGGUUAUUGAUUUUCAUGCCAGAUCUGGUUUGUUCAGUUUCCGCAGAACGGACACAAAACCGCAGCUUGCAGCGGUUUGUGUCCAGU